ensembl:lncRNA
AGGGAAACCAACCAAGUGAACAGAGGUUUGGAAGUUUCAGCCCCACCGCUGAUCUCCAGGAAAGGGAAGGGGCUGGAGAUGGAGUUCAUUUAUCAACGAUCAAAGAUCUAAUCAAUUAAGCCUAUGUCAUAAAACAUAAAAGCCACACAGGAGAGGGGUGUUUUCCUUUACAGGAACUUUGCCUCUUUUCUCAAGAGCCAGACAGAGAGAAGAGCUGCAGGGUCAGUUUGGUUCUCAAGGUCCAGGAAAAUUUUCAAAAAUAAAUACAUGAAGAAAUGAAUGAACUGAUGAGUCUAAAUCAGAGUCGUCUACAAGCAAUCUGUACCAGAAACAGCAGCCAAAGCCAGUAUUGUGAACUGACUUCCUUGCUUCCUAUGAAAAUAUGGAUUUCCUGUCUUUACUCUGAAAAGAGAGAGGGAAUAAACGAAAAGUGAAGGAACUUCUCUUUCUAAUGAUAGAGGAUCAUCCAUUAGGCAGACCUACCAGCUCAAACCCCCAAAGAGAACUACGCGAUGAGAGUGGACAAGACCUCAAGAGGGUAUCCACUGUGCAGGUUACAGAUGCGGGGAAGUCUGGGCAACACUGGGCUGUCUUAAAAACCAACAGGGACGGUGCCUACAAUCCUGAUGGAGACUAGAGGCUGCAGUGCCGCACAACACUCAAACCCCAGCUCUCAUCAAGGCCGCUGGUCUCUACCUGUGGCUGACUUACCACAAUUCUCUCCGUCCUGCUACUUUUUCUAGCAUUUGGCCCUUUUCUGUGGGACCCUUGAGGAUGGGCAAGAGAGUUGAGAAACGCAUCUUGAGUUAUUCAAGAACUGCUUAAUGAGCUCAUUGCCCAAACCUCAGGAAGAGAUGUCAUUUUUGCUUCCAAUACUUUCGAAAUCAUCGUUUGUUGAAAGGAAAUAACCUUUCUCUCCUCACCUCUUUCCAACGGGAAACAUCGAGCCCAGGUCUGUGCAGUAUCCCUCUGUGUGACUGUCAGCUUUUUCUGAAGUCUGUGCAAGUUACAAAGAGCAGAUAAGAAAGCAUGACACUCAGCUAACCAAUCAUGAGGCCAAUAUAGGCCCACUCAGCACAGAGAUUUCAGAUCAGUUUGACUCUCCCUCUCUUUUCUUUAAAUUCCCCUUUCUGUUCUUAUUCCCCUCUCACUUGACCA